UAUGACACAUAGAAGCCAGCUUGCAGAAGCAGGCUGCAAACCACCGUAAGCGGUGCUGGUAAAGAUCCGGAUGUCGUAAGCGUUACGGAAAACUGCAGUGAAAGCAUCAGGU
rfam:Syntrophus aciditrophicus SB, complete genome.